CGGCCAUUCAUGUGCCGUCUUUCCUUCUCUUCGCUUCCAUUCCCUUCUCCAGCCAUCGCCUGCUCGUAGGCCACUUGUUCUCUCAUCAGUCUCUUCGUUCGACCAUCUGAUUAAUGUACGGUUUUUCUAUCUCGAUCUCUCUUUCUCCAUCUGUUUGGUGCCGUCUGUCCGUCUCUUCGCUUCCAUUCCCUUCUCCGGCCACCGUCUGCUCGUAGGCCACUUGUUCUCUUAUCAGUCUCUUCGUUCGACCAUCUAAUUAAUAUUAUUACAUAAUCCACGAAAUCAAGGUACUAAUAUACAAUGCAUCUUUUCAGAGACGAAAUUGUCCCCGAGAUUGAGACCUCGAAUAAUAAGAAUCAUAGUUACGACACUUAAGAGGACCAAAUUGUGAGAUACGAGCGUAUGGAUGAAGACGCUCCACCACUUGACAAUGAUUUUGAGACUGAAGACGCCUCACCAAUGGAUGCUCCCACUAAUAGUAAGAAAAGAAAAGGGCAAGGUCCUAUGAAAAACCUCAAAGUCACAAAACUCAUGCAUUUGGAAUACAAUGUAUUGGGUCAAACUUGCGGAAAAUCGCGUAGGCAAUAUGGAAAAGAAGUGAGCCUAUGUAUCCGCAAGAUUUCCAUAUUGUACGCAUGGAACGAGGUUCUAGAGGGUUUGAAAAACUCUAUAUGGAAUGAUACUGUGAGAUGAGGAGAAGAAGAAUGUGUUUCUUUCAGCAACAGCUGAAACAUUCAUAGAUUUCAAAUCCAAGCUAGUAACUAGCUGGAUCACGAACAAGCGUGCCCGUACGACCAAAAAGGUCAAAACGGGAAACGAAGGUGGAGAGCAAGCCUUCGAAGAUGCCCUACGAAAUAUGGGGUCACAUAUCAAAGAGGGAAUGACUUUUGUUGCCAAAAAGAACAACUCCCAUUAAAGUUGAAAAGCGUGGUAAAGCUUCUGAAUCAGCAAGCAAAAGAAAGUUUUACCAUCGCUUGGGCCAAAAAGAGUACAAUGAGGUUCGAAAACAAUGGGUGGAUGCGGGUUUAUACCCCAAUCAAAGUCCAUUCACGUCCUCAUCUACGACUACCUCUGCAUCCGUGAAUACACCUGCUGGAGAUCGGGUGCGAGAUUGGUAUUGCAGGCUUAAUUCCCGAGACGCAAGUGGUAAAUAUACUAUUAAUGAUCCGGGAACGAAGAAGGUUGUUGAUACUUUGAUGGGCUGGAAGGAAAAAUAAGCUACGGGGAAGUUCACCCCAAGAGACAAUGUUGACGCAUUGCAUAUGGUCUUAGGGAAAACCAUAGAGGGCGAGUAGUUGGAAAAGGAGGCAUCCGCGUGGGGUUUAAGAAGGCAUUCGGAAAAGAGUGUUGCUAUUCAAUCCCGAACGAUGCCACCUGUUAAAGUGGCACUUGUGUUGCAGAAGAUGGGAGCACCCACUGUUGACUUCGCAAACCUGAUUGUCGAGGAUCAGUAAAGCCAACAUGGGGAUCCUAAUGCUUCGGUCGAGACAACACCUGAGCCCAUUACCCCCGUAGCACCCCAGCCCAUUGCUACCCCUGAAGGGGCAAACCCCACACCGGAGACCAUGUACUCCGUUGCUCAAAAUCCAGAGCCAGUGGUACAGGGGGCGACUCCUUGUUCUCUUUUGCUGCCUCAGUUAGGUGUUGCUAGUGAUGGCGAUUUAACUAAGGUUGCAUAUGGUUUGUUAGAAUUGUAAAUCAUAAUCAUAUGCUAGAAAUUACAUGUUAAACUGCGAUUUUAAGGGUUUUAACCGUUUUUGGCACUUUUGCGCAUAAAGUAGCUCAAACUUGGUUUGUUUUGCACGAAACUUGGCACACAAGACUAUUUGUUAUAUAUUAUUGUGUUGAAGUGAUUAGAAUUGUAAAUCAUAAUCAUAUGCUAGAAAUUACGUGUUAAGUUGCGAUUUUAAGGGUUUUUUAAGCGUUUUUGGCACCUUUGCGCAUCAAGUAGCUCAUACUUGGUGUGUUUUGCACGAAACUUGACACACAACAUUAUUUGGUAUAUAUUAUUGUGAUGAAGUGGUUAGCAUUGAAAAUCAUAAUCAUAUGCUAGAAAUUACGUAUUAAGUUACGAUUUUUUGGGUUUUUUUAAGUGUUUUUGUCACUUUCGCGCAUAAAGUAGCUGAAACUUGGUUUGUUUUGCACGAAACUUGGCACACAACACUAUUUGGUAUAUAUUAUUGUGAUAGUAAUAUGCUAGAAAUUACGUGUUAAGUUGCGAUUUUAAGGGUUUUUAAGCGUUUUUGGCACU